rnacentral:rRNA from 1 species
UUUAAUUGAAUGCUAAAAGAAUGGAAUAUCAAAGAAUAACUUUCUUAAAAUUAAAAAUUGAAAUUUUUUUAAUUUGUGUAAAAACAAUUAUAUAAAUUAAAGACAAGAAGACCCUAAGAAUUUUUAAAAUUUAAAUUAACACAUUUUUGUUUUAAUUAAAUUUUAACUGGGGCGGUUAAAAAAUAUUAAAAACUUUUUAAUUUUGAAAAUGACCCAUUAUUAAUGAAAAUAUGAUAAAAUACUCUAGGGAUAACAGCGUUAUAUUUUUUGAUAGAUCAUAUUGACAAAAAAGUUUGCGACCUCGAUGUUGGAUUAGGAUACUUUUUUAAUGAAGAUAUUAAAAUAAGAAGUUUGUUCAACUUUUAAAUUCAUUCAGACCGGA